rnacentral:rRNA from 1 species
UACAGAGGGUGCGAGCGUUAAUCGGAAUUACUGGGCGUAAAGCGCGCGUAGGCGGCUUUGCAAGUCGGGUGUGAAAUCCCCAGGCUUAACCUGGGAACUGCAUUCGAGACUGCAUUGCUAGAGUAUGGGAGAGGGAAGUGGAAUUUCCGGUGUAGCGGUGAAAUUCGUAGAUAUCAGGAGGAACACCAGUGGCGAAGGCGGCUUCCUGGACACCAACUGACGCUGAGACGCGAAAGCGUGGGGAGCAAACAGG